AUCGUGAGGUACAGGCGAGAAGAAGGGAUAGCGAAAUCGUAGCCUGACGAACAGAAACCUGAUAAGAAGGCGUAUACGGCGGAUAAGUGGGCCGAAAGUCACGAAGUCCAAAAGGCAACCGUAACCCGUAUGCGUAAAUCAGGCAGGUAGACGAGGAAAGAUUG
rnacentral:ncRNA from 1 species